UACGAAGGGGGAGCAUAGCGUUGCUCGGAAUCGACUAGGGCGUAAAGCGCAGCGUAGGCGGACUCUUAAAGUCGGUGGUGAAAUCCUGGAGCUCAACUCCAGAACUGCCUUCGAGUACUGAGAGUCUCGAGUCCGGAGAGAGGUGAGUGGAAACUGCGAGUGUAGAGGUGAAAGUUCGUAGAUAUUCGCAAAGAACGACCAGUGGCGAAGGCGGCUCACUGGCUCGGUACUGACGCUGAGACGGCGAAAGCGUGGGGAGCGAACCAGG
rnacentral:rRNA from 1 species